GAUGAAGAACGUAGCGAAAUGCGAUAAGUAAUGUGAAUUGCAGAAUUCAGUGAAUCAUCGAAUCUUUGAACGCACAUUGCGCCCCCUGGUAUUCCGGGGGGCAUGCCUGUUCGAGCGUCAUUUCACCACUCAAGCCUCGCUUGGUAUUGGGCAACGCGGUCCGCCGCGUGCCUCAAAUCGACCGGCUGGGUCUUCUGUCCCCUAAGCGUUGUGGAAACUAUUCGCUAAAGGGUGUUCGGGAGGCUACGCCGUAAAACAACCCCAUUUCUAAGGUUGACCUCGGAUCAGGUAGGGAUACCCGCUGAACUUAAGCACAUCAAUAAGCGGAGGA
rnacentral:misc_RNA from 1 species